UACGUAGGGUGCGAGCGUUGUCCGGAAUUAUUGGGCGUAAGAGCUCGUAGGCGGCUUGUCGCGUCGGAUGUGAAAGCCCGGGGCUUAACUCCGGGUCUGCAUUCGAUACGGGCAGGCUAGAGUUCGGUAGGGAGAUCGGAAUUCCUGGUGUAGCGGUGAAAUGCGCAGAUAUCAGGAGGAACACCGGUGGCGAAGGCGGAUCUCUGGGCCGAUACUGACGCUGAGGAGCGAAAGCGUGGGGAGCGAACAGG
rnacentral:rRNA from 1 species